AGACUAAAAUUGAUCACUGCUCUCCAAGAAGAAUAUAAUUGAAACAUAAGCUUUAAGUUUCAAGAACCUUCUUUAUGAAGAAGAGAAAAUAAAAUUGAGCCUCAGGAACUUCAUUAACUGGACUAACACUACACAAUUAAGAGAAUGGUGUAACCACAAUUGUGAGAGGAGAUGGAAUUAAGUACAAUUUGAUGAUGAGAGUUACAACAGCUGCUUCAGGGGACGCUACUUCCUGGUCUUUACCCACUUCCAGCACCACACUCCUGCUCCCUGCCCAGUCUGGGCUGGUGUCCUGACCUGCAGCAAACAGAAGUGGUCAAUGAAGGGCAGCUCCUGAAAGUCCUGGGGGGAUGGGGUAACUGGUUGAUGGACAUUAAGGAGGGCAUGUGAUGUAAUGAGCACUUGGUAUUGUAUAAGACAAUCACUGACUUCU